rnacentral:rRNA from 1 species
AUUGAACGCUGGCGGCAGGCCUAACACAUGCAAGUCGAACGAGUGGCGGACGGGUGAGUAAUGUCUGGGAAACUGCCCGAUGGGGGGGGAUAACUCCUGGAAACGGUAGCUAAUACCCCAUACCACCUGAUAUGCCCACAUGGGAUUAGCUAGUGGGGGGGGUAACGGCUCACCUAGGCGACGAUCCCUAGCUGGUCUGAGAGGAUGACCCGCCACACUGGAACUGAGACACGGUCCAGACUCCUACGGGAGGCAGCAGUGGGGAAUAUUGCACAAUGGGCGCAAGCCUGAUGCAGCCAUGCCGCGUGUAUGAAGAAGGCCUUCGGGUUGUAAAGUACUUUCAGCGGGGAGGCGUUACCCGCAGAAGAAGCACCGGCUAACUCCGUGCCAGCAGCCGCGGUAAUUC